rnacentral:rRNA from 1 species
UACGUAGGUGACAAGCGUUGUCCGGAUUUACUGGGCGUAAAGAGCGCGCAGGCGGUCGAUCAAGUCGAGUGUGAAAGCCCCCGGCUCAACUGGGGAGGGUCAUUCGAUACUGAUCGACUCGAAGGCAGGAGAGGGUAGUGGAAUUCCCGGUGUAGCGGUGAAAUGCGUAGAGAUGUGGAGGAACACCGAUGGCGAAGGCAGCCUUCUGGGCCAACACUGACGCUCAUGCACGAAAGCGUGGGGAGCAAACAGG